rnacentral:lncRNA from 1 species
AAAAAUUAUAUACGAUCAAAUCAAAUCAAUAAAGAAGGUUAAAUAAGUUAAGAUUAUGGGAGAAUCUUAAUCUCAAUAUGUUACAAGCAUAAAAUCUUUUUAUUAAUAAUAAUCACUUGCUUGUUCUGUGCCAUGAUCCCAUUAUUUUGCCUCUCAGAAUGAAAAUUUGAACGCGUGCAGGAAUAGCUCUCAUGGAGCACAACAAACAAGCAAAAUAAAAAAAAAGAAAUCAUGUUUGCUCUUCUUAUUUCUCUGAUAAACUACGUUAUAGUAUUAUAUAUACAUACAUUUAUAGGCAUUAUCCAGUUUGUUUCUCUACUCAUUUAUGGUGUUCAUAGUUACUACUGAAACAAGAGAUGGCCAAGGGCCUGACCGACAUCAAAGGAAGGCUUGUGUGGGCUCAUGCCAUGCCAUGUCCACCGUUUGCAUCGCGUCAUGCUGUAUGGUGUUGUUGAAAGGAAAAUGCAAGUACUUGGAAGAAAUUGGAAUUGUAUUAUAUAUUCGAAUGAAUUACAAUGAGACAUAUUGAGGUCCUUAUAUAGUACAAAUUAUAGCCGUUCGAGAAUUAAAGAGCAUUCUUAAAGUAUAAUAGAAUUAACCACAAUUGAGGAAAUCGUGAUUGCUAUUGACAGAGGAAAUCUCGGUUUUAUUAGCUUGCAGUCAAGGCUGAUCUUUUGGCUGAUUUUCUUGAUUCCUUUCCUUGAUUCCUGACUCAUUGAUUGCUAUUUCUUCAGCCUGACACUUUCCUUUAACAUUCCCCCUCAAACUUGGUCGUGGUAGAGUCCAAAUACCAAGUUUGGUGCAUAAAUUAUGAAAGGUAGUGCUGGAGAGAGGCUUUGUAAAUAUAUCAGCUAGUUGAUCUUUGGAACUCACAAACUGGGUGAUUAGUUUCCCUUGAGCCACUUUCUCGCGGACAAAGUGAUAAUCAAUCUCAAUAUGUUUUGUGCGAGCAUGAAGAACUUGAUUAACUGUUAAAUGAAGAGCUGACAUGUUAUCACUAAACAGUGUUGGAGGUUGAGGAAGCUGAAAGCCAAUGGAUCCAUGUGAGUUCUGCAGCAGCUGAAGCCAUAGCACGAUACUUAGCUUCCGUACUUGAUCGGGCAACAGUAAGUUGUUUCUUGGCUGACCAGGAUACACAAUUGGGACCUAAAAAAGUGCAAAAUCCUGUGGUGGAUCUUAUUGUUAGAGGACAACCACCCCAAUCCGAAUAUGAAAAUGCAUACAAAUUAGUUAUAGUGUGAGAAAGUAAUCGAAUACCAUGAUCUAAAGUUCCUUGGACAUAUCGGAGAAUUCUUUUGACUAAUUGAAAAUGAAAAUUGCUCGGUUGAUGCAUAUGUUGGCAAACAAAAUUAACACUAUAAGCAAUGUCUGGCCUAGUGAAUGUCAAGUAUUGUAAUCCACCUACAAUGCUUCUAUAGAAGGUAGGAUCAGAAAAUAAACUUGUAUCAAUGGGGUGAUUGUGAGGCACCAUAGGAGUAGAUAAUGGUUUACUAGUAUGCAUUUUUGCUCUUUUAAGCAAAUCGGCAGCAUAUUUUCUUUGAUGCAAGAUAAGACCAUGAGAAAAUUUAGCUACUUCUACACCUAAAAAUUAAUGAAUGUAACCAAGAUUUUUCAUAGCAAACUCCUUUCCAAGUGAGCAGAGAAAUUGAUUUAGAAGAAUAUGGUUGCUUCCUGUUAAAAUUAAAUCAUCAACAUAAACAAGUAAAAAUAUAACGCCAUGAUUUUUUCGAAAAAUAAACAAUGAAGAGUCAGCAGUGCUACAAACAAAUCCAUAAGCUAAGAGGAACAUACUGAACCUAUCAAACCAUGCUCUCGGUGCUUGUUUUAGCCCAUACAAAGCUUUGUCAAGUUUACAAACAUGGUGCAGAUAUUUUUCAUCAAUAAAUCCAGGGGGUUGCUCCAUGAAAACUGGUUUAUCGAGUUUGCCAUGUAAAAAUGCAUUUUUAACAUCUAAUUGUCGAAUGUCCCAAUUGUGGGAUAGUGCAAUUGAUAAGACUAUCCUGAUGGUUGCAGGUUUUACAACGGGUGAAAAUGUUUCUAGGAAGUCAAUUCCUGGAAUUUGAUUAAAGCCUUUGGCCACUAGCCUAGCUUUUAGUCUUUCUAGAGUGCCAUCAGCUUUAAGUUUUGUUUUGUAUACCCACUUACAGCCUAUGACAUUCAUGUCAUUGGAUCUUGGAAUUAAUAUCCAUGUCUUAUUUUGAUGCAGGGCAACAAUUUCCUCUUUCAUAGCAUGCAACCAUCCUGGAUGAUAUAAAGCAUCUUUAAUGCCUUUAGGCUCUGUUGGCACAUUAUAACUAAGUAAUGCAAAUUCAGUAGGGCUAUACCUGGUGCUGCGUUUAUAUAUACCUGCUUUGCCACGUGUUGUCAUGUUGUGAGAUAGUUGUAUACUUACAGUGGAAUCAAGAGUAGGUUUUUGUCUCGUGUCUUGAUCUGUUUGAUUUUGAGAUGCUAAGAUGUGAACAGCCUCUGAAUCUUUGUUAGGCUGAAUGCUAGUUAGAUCCAACUCAUGGGAAACUUCAGUCUCUUGUUCAGGAGCCAUUGUGUCUUGAUCAGAGUCAUGUUGAGGUGCUAAAAUGUUUGUAGCCUCAAAAUCUUUGCUAGUUGGAUCAAGUUCGUGAGGGGUCUAUAACAUGUUUAUAUUGCUAUAUUCUUGGCCUCCACUUCCUUCAUUGUUUGUGGUAGAGAUAUCAAGGUUAGUAUUUUCAUUUUGGUUGAUAUCCGCUAUCCUGUGGCUAUUUUCUGUUAUAAGUACUGCCAUGUUUGUUCGAGGAGAUGGUUGGUUAUAGUUGUUUCCAAUUCCUGCAGUAGUAAAAGUUCCUGCAAUCCACUCGUUGAAACUUGUUAGAUUUGUGUGUUUAUCAAAACUACUAUAAAGUAUACCUGGCUUCAUGAAGGGGAAAGUCUUUUCAUCAAAGACAACAUCUCUUGACAAAUAUACUUUUCCAGUAGGUGGGUGAAAACAUCUAUAACCUUUAUAAAAUUCACUAUAUCUAAGGAACACAUUAGGAAGAGAUUUUGGAUCAAAUUUAUUUUGAGUUAUUCUUCUAAGACAUGGAAAACAUCUAGAGCCAAACACUCUUAAGGAAGAGUAGUUAGGUUUCUUACCGGUUAACUUCUCAAUGGGACUUUUCAUGGCAAGUAUGGUUGAAGGUAACCUAUUGAUUAGCCAUGUUGCAGUAGAAAAUGCUUCCACCCAGAAGCGUUUAGGAACUCCAGCAUGAAACAACAUAGUAAGUCCAAGCUCAGUGAUAUUCUUAUGCUUUCUCUCAGCAACACCGUUUUGCUGAGGUGUUCCUGGGCAUGAUUUCUGUGACUUGAUUCCAUGAUUUAAAAGGUAUUCUUGAAAUUCUUUGCUUCCAAACUCACCUCCUCCAUCCGAUUGAAAAACUUUGAUGUUUUUCUCAAACUGAUUUUUCAAAAAUUUAUGAAAAGAAAUAAAGCAAUGAAAGAAAUUAGAUUUUUUCCGUAAAGGAAAAACCAAGUAAACCGAGUGAAUUCAUCCACAAAUAUAACAUAAAAUUUAAAAUUUUGAAAUGAUUUAACUGGAGCAGGACCCCAUAAGUCACAAUGAAUUUUACCAAAAGGUUCCGAACAAUGUUCAUCAAUAUUAAGAAAAGGGAGUCUACAAGAUUUGCCUAAUUGGCAACUUUCACAUAAAAAAUUUUCCCUAUCAUGCUCAUUUAUAGAAUUGAGCUUUUUAUGCUUUAAAUAACUAAUUAUUUUCAUAUGUGGAUGCCCAAGCCGUUGAUGCCAUGUGGUAUCGCUAGUUGCUUGAAACCUUGAUGAGUAGAAUGUCAUGUUUUGAUUUGGUUCCAAGCUAUAAAGGCCACCAUUCCUAGUUCCUGUUGUGAUCACUUUCCCUGUUUCCCUGUUCUUAAUCACAAAAUUAUUUGCAGUGAAUUCAAACAUGUAAGGAAAAUCAGUGGUUAAUUGACUUACAGAGAGAAGAUUCUUUUUAAUCUCAGGAACAACUAAAACAUUUUUUAAUUUGACAGAGUUUUUAUCUGUGUGCAAAACAGUAUCUCCUAUAUGAGUAAUUUUCAAUUUAUGUCCAUUACCUACCAUUAUCUUAUCUGAUCCAUGAUAUGGUUGACAGUGAAUUAACUUACCAUUAUCUGAAGUCAUAUGUUGAGUAGCUCCUGUAUCAGGAAACCAUGCAUCAGUCUCAUUUUCUGAUAUUGCCAUAGCAGCAAGAGCUUGUGCUGCAUUACUAAGCUGAUAGCCUUGUUUGAAUCUGUGCCAACAUUCAAAGACAGAGUGUCGAGGCUUAAGAUAAAUCUGACAAAUUAAAUCAUCUUUGUCUUGCUCAUUUUGAGAAGGAUUCUGAUUAUUCCUUUGUGGUGCUUCCGAAGGUUUUUGUACUGCUUGAGGGAAGCCUCUUCCUUUUGAGUUGAAGGAAUUUUGCCCUUGUCUGCUAAGGGGAUUUUGUCCCUGCAUGUUAAAAGGAACUUGUCCCUGCCUAUUGUUUCUAAAGUGUUUUCCAUUGUUUUUAUUUUGAGCAAAAAAGCAGAGUGUUCAUCGGUAGCACUUGCAGAGCAAUGAAAAGAUUUCAUGUUCUCAUGACUUUGAAGUAAUUGAAUGACAUCAUUAUAUGAAGGUAUUGGAGGUUUCAUCAUAGAUGUAACAAAAGAUCUAUAACCCUUACCUAAUCCUUUGAGAAGACCAAAAACCUUUUGUUGAUCUUCCAUCGAUUUGCCAAUGGCAUCAAGUUCAUCACAUAUCUCUUUGAAGCCUCUGAUGUAGUCAUUGAUAGUUUUGUAAUUUUGCUUGCUGUGCAGAUGCAUCUUUUGCAUGAGAAAGAACUCUCUAUCUUUGGUGUUUCGAGCAAAGUAUUCUGAUAAGGCUUUCCAUACUGCUGCUGAUGUUUCUAUUCCCACAGCAAGUCCAAGGACUUCCUCUGAUAGAGUCCCCACAAUCCAUCCGCGAAGAAGUCGAUCCGAUCUCCUCCACAUUAUGUAAUCAUAAUUCAUCACAUAUUCUUGUUUUGUUGUAGAUGCUUCAGCUUCUACAGUUGAUUUUAAGACAAAUUCUACAGGUUCGAGAUAUGUUCCAUCUAGAAAACCUCCCAUAUCUUGGCUUUCAAUAAGCCCACUUAUUUGGGUUUUCCACAACGUGUAGUUGUUUUGGGUGAGUUUUAAAGAGACAAAGUUGCUUAUAUUCAAUGUGGAAGGAUAUGGAAAUGAAACGGUAGAUGUAGUUUUUGAAGACACAAAAGCCAUGGUUGACUAAUAAUAUUUAAUUAUUCUGCCAGGAGCUAUUGCUCUGAUACCAUGGAAGGAAAAUGCAAGUACUUGGAAGAAAUUGGAAUUGUAUUAUAUAUUCGAAUGAAUUACAAUGAGACAUAUUGAGGUCCUUAUAUAGUACAAAUUAUAGCCGUUCGAGAAUUAAAGAGCAUUCUUAAAGUAUAAUAGAAUUAACCACAAUUGAGGAAAUCGUGAUUGCUAUUGACAGAGGAAAUCUCGGCUUUAUUAGCUUGCAGUCAAGGCUGAUCUUUUGGCUGAUUUUCUUGAUUCCUUUCCUUGAUUCCUGACUCAUUGAUUGCUAUUUCUACAGCCUGACACUUUCCUUUAACAGUUGUUUCUAUGCUUAGGUCUAAGCUCGUACUGUACCGUGUCUUGGGCUAUUCCUAACAAAAAAAGCACGACAAGUCAUUUUUUUUUUUAAAGAGAACAGACCAAGCUAGUAGUGUAUUUUUUUUAACCCUAUGUAUCUUUUUUGGGUCUAUAUAUUUUUCGUCAAAUUCAAUAAAAAUCAGAAAGUUUAAAAAUCAAAUCUAUAUUCAAUAAUAAUAAAUUAAUAAUAGUAAGAGAAUGUAAUACUAAUUAUUAAGUUAGAUCCUACGAUAUUAGAAUUCUUUUUUAGUACUUAAGAACAACAACAACAAUAAUAAUAAAUUUUCUUAAGAGUUAAUUUAAUUGUUAACUUGGACCUACGUAGAUCGUAGAUCGUAGUCCAUUAUAA